AAUAAAUCAUGAAAUAAAGUAAAACAAUCACAGACUAACAUUACGAUUUUCGGUACAAGCUAUACUGAGCUGAUUAUUAUAAGGGAAAGUGUUGCCUGUCGUGUUCACUUGGAUACGGUUGAACCCAUGUAAACAAUACUCUUUGUGUGUAAAAUUUGGGAUAUUUUCUGUGUUUGAAGAGUUCUCGCUGUGCGCUGGUCGGCAAUCUUGAAAAAUAAAUUGUGAAGGUCGUAUUUCCAGCUUUCCUACGAGACGGCAGUUCAGAUGCAGUCGUCUUAUGUGUCAGAAAGCUGGUGAUCAAAAUGGUUGAAAGCAGUACCCAAGAAAGUACAUUUACUAAUUUGUGAGGAGUAACCUUGCCUAUAUUACGGUAUAUUACCUGAAGCUCACCCAAUAUGCAGUGUGUUCUGCUCUGUCAAUAACAACUCUGUAUGGCUGGUCUGACCUCAGUGGAAGUUGUUCGUUUAAAUGGUUUCGGGACAUUGAAGUACAACAAUACAAGAAUGUCCCACCAAGAGUGAAGGGCUGCCUGUUUGCUUCAGAUUACCAGUCCUCCUCGCUGAUGAUUUCUGAAGUCCUUACUCUUAUUAUUUGUCAAACCAAAAGAUGAAUGUCAAAUUAUUUGAAGAUGCUAAGCAUUUAUCAUACAUGUUACUCUUUUUUAUGACAAAUCGACUCACAAAUUUAAGCAAACCAGGUGACGAUGUACAAAUAAUUUAGGGUGACGAGCUUUUUGGUUACCUCGCCCAGCCAAACUUAAAGACUUAAAGUAUAUAUAUAAGUCUUUUAGUUUGGUCGGGCGAGCGAGCCAAAAUCUUGCACCCCAAAAUAUUUGUACAUCGUCACUUUGUGUGCUUAAUUUUGAGAUUCAACUAAAUCGUUCUAAAAUCAAUGUAAAAAAAAGUUUCAUAAGGGGGGUACUCAGUGUGAAAAAACUACAUCGCUUAAACGCAAAUGCGCUUUGGUAGGUAUAUAGCUAAAACGCGAAUGCGCUAUGGUGAAAAUCCAAAGUCAAAAAAUUUGAAAAUUUUGAAAUGUUGUCAAAUAAAUCAUGAUAUUAAGCACUGUUUUAGUGAACUGCUCUGUCAUUUGUAAAUCAAAACUGAGAGAAUGGUUAAUAUGUUUUGAAAUUAAGCAUUUAUCAUUUUUGUAAAAAUCGAAUGUUAUUAAUGAAACCAAAAUUUACCAGAGUAAACAUUAAUUUGCUAUUGUAUGUAAGAAUGUUUCGUAUUUUACACUGUUUCAUUUCAUUUUUUCAGAUGAGAUGCCAUACACAGGGGAUCCGACAGAAGACAGCAGACAGAAUUCGUCGAUCUAUUUGAAAUGUCAUUGCUUAUUUGAAAAAAGUUACCUA